CGCCUGGCUGGGUCGGGCCGCAGGGCAUCGUCAACCUGAUGUCAUUAGCAAGGAAGUGGGAAGAACCUUCUGGAUUGAUGAAUCCAUCCUUCUGAUGACGUUACACCAAUUUGGUCACAGGAAUCCUCCAUUGGACAGCCGUCUGGACAUUUGGCCAGAGAUCAUAGAUCCACCGCCAUACUGAGAAGAACUCCCUUGAUGGCAUUUUGGAUUGGAAGAUGGUGGAAGGUGUUGAAUUGUAAAUUGGAGUUGCUGCUCAAACCAAUGUAACGCAAAAAAGAUGUCGCCGACAUGGGACCUGAGCCUGGGAACCAGCAGGAGGAGAGUUCACUUUAA